rnacentral:tRNA from 1 species
GUCUUGGUAGUUUAAUUAGAAUGUGGCGGUGAAGUUGCUAUGGUAAUAUAUUAUUUCGAGACA